GACGAACGCUGGCGGCGUGCUUAACACAUGCAAGUCGAACGCGCCUGUCCUCUGGGUUUCUGGGGGGUGGGUGAGUGGCGAACGGGUGAGUAACACGUGAGUAACCUGCCCCCUUCUUCGGGAUAACGGUCUGAAAGGGCUGCUAAUACCGGGUAUUCACUGGUCUCCGCAUGGGGUCUGGUGGAAAGGUUUUUUUCUGGUGGGGGAUGGGCUCGCGGCCUAUCAGCUUGUUGGUGGGGUGAUGGCCCACCAAGGCUUUGACGGGUAGCCGGCCUGAGAGGGUGACCGGUCACAUUGGGACUGAGAUACGGCCCAGACUACUACGGGAGGCAGCAGUGGGGAAUAUUGGACAAUGGGCGCAAGCCUGAUGCAGCGACGCCGCGUGAGGGAUGGAGGCCUUCGGGUUGUGAACCUCUUUCGCCCGUGGUCAAGCCGCGACGUGGGUCGUGGUGAGGGUAGUGGGUAAAGAAGCGCCGGCUAACUACGUG
rnacentral:rRNA from 1 species